ACUCAAAUGAAUUGACGGGGACCCGCACAAGCGGUGGAGCGUGUGGUUUAAUUCGAGGCUACGCGAAGAACCUUACCAAGGCUUGACAUCCUUGUCGCCGCUCUAGGAAACUAGAGCUUCAUUUAGUUGGACAAGUGACAGGUGAUGCAUGGCCGUCGUCAGCUCGUGUCGUGAGAUGUCAGGUUAAGUCCUUCAACGAGCGCAACCCUCGUAACUAGUUGUCUUAUGUCUAGUUAGACUGCCUCGGUAACGGGGAGGAAGGAGGGGAUGACGCCAGGUCAGCAUGUCCCUUACGCCUUGGGCCACACACACGCUACAAUGGCCGGUACAAUGAGCUGCUAAGUCGCGAGACGGAGCUAACCUCAUCAAAACCGGUCUCAGUUCGGAUUGUAGGCUGCAACUCGCCUGCAUGAAGCUGGAAUCGCUAGUAACCGUAGGUCAGCACACUACGGUGAAUACGUUCCCGGGUCUUGCACACACCGCCCGU
rnacentral:rRNA from 1 species